rnacentral:rRNA from 1 species
UACGUAGGGUCCGAGCGUUGUCCGGAUUUAUUGGGCGUAAAGAGCUCGUAGGCGGUUCCGUAAGUCAGAUGUGAAAACUCAGGGCUCAACCCGGAGACGCCAUCUGAUACUGCGGUGACUGGAGUCUGGUAGGGGAACACGGAAUUCCUGGUGUAGCGGUGAAAUGCGCAGAUAUCAGGAGGAACACCGGUGGCGAAGGUGGGUCUCUGGGCAGUAACUGACGCUGAGGAGCGAAAGCGUGGGGAGCGAACAGG